rnacentral:rRNA from 1 species
AGUGAACGCUGGCGGUAGGCCUAACACAUGCAAGUCGAACGGCAGCACAGUAAGAGCUUGCUCUUACGGGUGUCGAGUGGCGGACGGGUGAGGAAUACAUCGGAAUCUACUUUUUCGUGGGGGAUAACGUAGGGAAACUUACGCUAAUACCGCAUACGACAUACGGGUGAAAGCAGGGGAUCUUCGGACCUUGCGCGAUUGAAUGAGCCGAUGUCGGAUUAGCUAGUUGGCGGGGUAAAGGCCCACCAAGGCGACGAUCCGUAGCUGGUCUGAGAGGAUGAUCAGCCACACUGGAACUGAGACACGGUCCAGACUCCUACGGGAGGCAGCAGUGGGGAAUAUUGGACAAUGGGCGCAAGCCUGAUCCAGCCAUACCGCGUGGGUGAAGAAGGCCUUCGGGUUGUAAAGCCCUUUUGUUGGGAAAGAAAAGCAGCAGGUUAAUACCCCGCUGUUCUGACGGUACCCAAAGAAUAAGCACCGGCUAACUUCGU